UACGUAGGGUGCAAGCGUUGUCCGGAAUUAUUGGGCGUAAAGAGCUCGUAGGCGGUCUGUCGCGUCUGCUGUGAAAACUCAGGGCUUAACCCUGAGCUUGCAGUGGGUACGGGCAGACUGGAGUGCGGUAGGGGGAGACUGGAAUUCCUGGUGUAGCGGUGAAAUGCGUAGAGAUGUGGAGGAACACCAGUGGCGAAGGCGACUCUUUGGUCAAGAUUGACGCUCAUGCACGAAAGCGUGGGGAGCAAACAGG
rnacentral:rRNA from 1 species